CCCUUAGGUGUUCUGGGCUGCACGCGUGCUACACUGAUAUUGCCAAUAUGUCAUUCUUAUCCGAAAUGGAUUGGGUAAUCAAGUAAUGAAAUUUCAUGCUUGGAAUCGGUAAUUGCAAUUUUAUCGUGAACGAGGAAUUCCUAGUAAGCACUAGUCAUCAGCUAAUGUUGAUUAUGUCCCUGCCCUUUGUACACACCGCCCGUCGCUACUACUGAUUGGGUGUUCAAGUGAGAUGCUUAGACCCUUGUUGCAUGGUUCAUUAUUGUGCUCCGAAAGGAAAAAGUUUCAAGCUUGAGUGUCUAGAGGAAGUAAAAGUCGUAACA
rnacentral:rRNA from 1 species